GGAACGAACGCUGGCGGCAUGCCUAAUACAUGCAAGUCGAACGAACGCUUCGGUGUUAGUGGCGCACGGGUGCGUAACGCGUGGGAAUCUGCCCUUGGGUUCGGAAUAACAGUUGGAAACGACUGCUAAUACCGGAUGAUAUCGAAAGAUCAAAGAUUUAUCGCCCAGGGAUGAGCCCGCGUAAGAUUAGCUUGUUGGUGAGGUAAAAGCUCACCAAGGCGACGAUCUUUAGCUGGUCUGAGAGGACGAUCAGCCACACUGGGACUGAGACACGGCCCAGACUCCUACGGGAGGCAGCAGUGGGGAAUAUUGGACAAUGGGCGAAAGCCUGAUCCAGCAAUGCCGCGUGAGUGAUGAAGGCCUUAGGGUUGUAAAGCUCUUUUACCAGGGAUGAUAAUGACAGUACCUGGAGAAUAAGCUCCGGCUAACUCCGCGCCAGCAGCCGC
rnacentral:rRNA from 1 species